rnacentral:sRNA from 1 species
UCAAAGGGACUCGGAUACAUAUGAUAUACCCCUACUCCACGUGCCUUGUAUACUAUGAUGCAUGUUCGUGAGGUAUUAUUUUAUUUUAUUUAUUUAUUUAUUUUUUUAUUUUUUUUGAUAUCGGCACAGAUGUAUUUGUUAUAAAUUGACUCAUUGGCCGCGCCUGCAUGCGAUGAGGCUCCUUGCAUGGGCCAACGCGCGGACCGGGAAGCCACAACACCGACAACUUGAGCUUCAAACCUCAGCCGGCCGUUCUCCGCGAACAAACAUUGAUGAUAUCUGUAUAUGUACGGUAUACGGUAUUUUUGUUUUUUGUUAGCAUUUGUCUGACGUAACACCCC